UUAGCGGGUCCGGAGGAAGGGUCCUUGGCGGGAGUGUGGUAGUCGUCCAUGUCUGUGUCCAGCAGGGUGACGCUGGGGCUGAACACCUGCAACAUGACACACUCCACUUAGCACAAACAAUACUGAUAAGUAGUCAAUCAAGUAGUCUGAAAACAAGUGCUAUCACUGAGACUACGACAAGCCCAUGACACACACACCCCGUGCUCCUCAACCCGAAGUGGAGGAUGAGAGUCAGACACACUCAGCACCGCCACUGUCUUGAUGCUUUCCCGUGAAAAGUACGUAUGUGCAGCGUAUGGCGUGAGGAAAUGACCAUCAGACACUGUUGUUAUCACCAUCUCCACCACCAUCACUACAUCCAUCAAAAACGACAACAUUGAUAACAAGAAAAGCAGGAUAAAACAAACAAUGCACCACCCAGGUGUUUAACACAGGAUACUUACAGAUUCACACGUCAUUAAAGAGUCAGAAGAAAGGAUCAGGCCUGUCUAUGGAGAAGAGAGAAGACCACGCGUGCAUUCACACCAAAACAGUCUUCAGUCUCUAUUGUGAUUCCCUACAUGCUCACAAGUCCUUGUCUG